GGUCGAUUCGUCUAGUGGUAAGGACGGUGGAUUCUGAUUCCACAAACCUCAGUUCGAUCCCGAGAUCGACCU
rnacentral:tRNA from 1 species